UUUUCUGUUUCGGUGGUUUGAACAUUUAUCUCUUUAUGGUAUCCCACGUCUCCAAUGGAGGAUUCUAAGGAAGAAGAACGUUGACAGAGCAUCCAGCUUAACCAAGCUACACGGAAAUGGCCCCGCCAACCAAACAAGACCAGCGAACCUCCAGAAGAACGGUGGCUGUUGUUGGCGCUGGUGUUAGUGGGCUUGCUGCAGCUUACAAAUUGAAGUCACAAGGUUUCAAUGUCACGGUGCUUGAAGCUGAUGAAAGAGCUGGAGGAAAGAUAAGAAGCGUCUCAUACGAGGGUCUUAUCUGGGACGAAGGAGCCAAUACAAUGACUGAAAGUGAACCAGCGGUCCAGUGCUUACUUGACGAUCUUGGACUUCGAGAGAAACAACAAUUUCCAAUUUCUCAAAAUAAACGAUAUAUUGUGAGGAAUGGUGUACCAGUACUGGUGCCUACAAAUCCCAUUGCACUGAUCAAGAGCAACAUUCUCUCUGCAAAGUCAAAGUUCCAGAUCAUUUUAGAGCCAUUUUUGUGGAAAAAGUAUGAUUCAUCAAAAGUGUCAGAUGAUUAUACUAGUGAAAGCGUGGGUGGGUUCUUUCAGCGCCAUUUUGGGAAAGAGGUUGUUGACUAUCUGAUUGACCCAAUUGUUGCUGGUACAAGUGCUGGAGAUCCCGACUCUCUUUCUAUGAUUCAUACCUUUCCGGAGCUGUGGAAUAUUGAAAAAAGGUUUGGUUCGAUUUUAGCUGGAUUAGUGCAAUCAAAAUUGUUUACCAAAAAGGAGAAUAGUGGAGCGAGGAAUGGUACUGCAGAAAAAAGGAAACCUGGUCAUGGCUCAUUUUCCUUUCAGGAUGGAAUGCAGACACUCACCGAUAGACUAUGCAAAGAGCUUGGUGAAGAUGUGCUUAAGUUAAGAUCAGAAGUUUUUUCAUUAUCCUACAAUGCUGGGCAGCCCGCAUCACAAAAUUGGUCACUCACUUAUGCUAAUGGUCGGAAUUCACAGGAUUUAACUGCUGAUGCUGUAAUUAUGACGGCUCCUGUGUGCUACGUCAGAGAAAUGAAGUUUAUGAAAGGAGGAAUUCCAUUUCCGCUAAAUUUUCUUCCUGAGGUGGCUUAUAUGCCAUUGUCAGUCAUGAUAACUACCUUCAGAAAGGAGAGUGUUAAGAGACCACUUGAGGGAUUUGGAGUUCUUGUACCUUCUGUAGAACAACGAAAUGGUCUAAGAACCCUUGGUACACUCUUUUCCUCCAUGAUGUUUCCAGAUCGUGCAUUAAGUGAUGAGUAUCUGUAUACGACUUUUAUUGGUGGGAGUCGAAACAGGGAGCUUGCGAAGUCAUCAAAAGAUGAGUUGAAGCAAAUCGUUACAUCGGAUCUAAGACAGUUGUUGGGAGUCGAUGGGGAGCCCACUUUUGUCAACCAUUUCUAUUGGAGCAAAGCAUUUCCUUUAUAUGGGCAUAACUAUGAUUCAGUUGUGAAGGCAAUUGAAAAAAUGGAGAAAGAUCUUCCUGGGUUCUUUUAUGCAGGUAACCACAGGGAUGGUUUGUCUGUUGGCAAAUCUAUAGCCGCCGGCUGCAAAGCUGCUGAUAUCGUAAUUUCUUAUCUGGAGUCUUCUUCUACUGACAAGCCCCGUGCUGAACAGAUACAAAAUUCAGAAAAAUAGCAAGUUCACCCUUGCAACAAAGUGAGUGAUUUCACCAUUUUCUGAUCCUGGCGCCUUACAUUUUCCUAGACCAGAAAGGAUGUGAGAAUUGCUUUUACAUUGCCAUGGUAGCUAGCCUGUGCCCCUUUUGGAUGGACGGGGGGUCUCUCAAAUUGGAGGAAUCAGCAUCCAUUAUCUGCUUACGUAAUUUACAAUCAUAGCUUUUAUUAGUUGUAUGACUCAUAACAUCAACUUCUAAGUGGACGGAAAUGCUGUAUUGUAAUUCUUAUAUUCUGCUUGAUCUUUUUUCUUUCUUUCUUUUUUCCUUUUUCAAUUUAAAUAUGAAUAAAUCGUUCAUGGAAUAGAUAUUGAUAGAGAAAAACAGGAGUAGCAUACAUUUUUUCUCCAACCUUUGAGGUUACAAACAUCAAACUUUCGAGCUUCUAUUUUACACUCCUUAUUGUAAGUUA